rnacentral:rRNA from 1 species
CCUACGGGAGGCAGCAGUGGGGAAUAUUGGGCAAUGGAGGAAACUCUGACCCAGCGACGCCGCGUGCGGGAUGAAGGCCUUCGGGUUGUAAACCGCUUUCAGUAGGGAAGAAGCGAAAGUGACGGUACCUACAAAAGAAGCACCGGCUAACUAUGUGCCAGCAGCCGCGGUAAUACAUAGGGUGCAAGCGUUGUCCGGAAUUAUUGGGCGUAAAGAGCUCGUAGGUCGUUUGUUACGUCGGAUGUGAAAACCUGAGGCUCAACCUCAGGCCUGCAUUCGAUACGGGCAAACUAGAGUUUGGUAGGGGAGACUGGAAUUCCUGGUGUAGCGGUGGAAUGCGCAGAUAUCAGGAGGAACACCAAUGGCGAAGGCAGGUCUCUGGGCCAAUACUGACACUGAGGAGCGAAAGUCUGGGGAGCGAACAGGAUUAGAUACCCUGGUAGUCCAGACCGUAAACGGUGGGCACUAGUUGUGGGAACCUUCCACGGUUUCUGCGACGCAGCUACGCAUAAGUGCCCGCCGUCGGGAGGUACGAGCGCGAGAAGUUAAACUACAAAUAGAAGUUAAGUACGGCGUUGAGACGUUGCCGAACGGCGACGACGAGGGAGGUUAGG